AUGUUUUUAUCAGCUGUUUGGACUCUAAUUCUGAUGGCACCCAUUCACUGCAGAGGAUCCAUUGAGGAGGCCACAGGCUUUGGGCCCAUAUUUGAGGAGGAGCCCUUGGACACAGUGUAUGCGGAGGAUUCACCAGAGAACAAAAUCUCCAUGAACUGCAGAGCACAGGCCUACCCUCCGGCCAUUAUCAAGUGGUGGUUAAACAACUGGGAAAUUAAACUGAUGGAGCAACCUGAUGAGCACUUUAGCCUGGUGGGAGGAAACCUGGUCAUCACCAACCCAGACAAGAGCAAGCAUGCUGGGAAAUAUGUGUGUGUGGCUAAGAACGUGUACGGCACUGUCAUCAGCAAAGAGGCCACUGUCAAAUUUGGAUACCUAAACCAGUUCCCUACAGAUGAGAGAGAGCCGGUGCAUGUUAAGGAGGGACAAGGAGCAGUGCUGCUGUGUUCUCCUCCCUCUCACAUGAUCACAUCACCAAGGAAAACACAGUUUAACAAAGUGAUGUUCCGCUGGAUCUACAAUGACUUCCCAAACUUCAUCAUACCAGACCAGAGGCGUUUCGUGUCACAGACCACUGGCAAUAUGUACAUCGCUAAAGUCGAGGCAUCUGAUGUUGGGAAUUAUUCUUGUUUCGUGUCAAGCCCCACCAUCGGCAAGAGUGUUUUCAGCAUGCCGAUUUCUCUGAUUCCACAAAUAGAGAGUGAGCAGGAGGUGAAGCGGUAUCCUGCUGAUAUCCGUGUGAAAUUUCCCAAGACUUAUGCUUUGGUGCAUCAGAACAUCACUCUGGAGUGCUUUGCCCUUGGAAAUCCGCUCCCACACAUCCGCUGGAGGAAGUUAGACGCUGAUCUCCCGCCCAACUAUGAGGUCAGCAUGAAUGGAGCUUUACUGCACCUGAUUAACGUUCAGUACGAGGAUGAAGGGAGCUACGAGUGUGAGACGCUCAACGUUAAAGGGAUGGACUGGUAUCGACAGUGGCUCUAUGUGGAAGGUAAAACAAGCUCUAACAACAAAAAUGUUGGUAGCGAACUCACUCUCAGGUGUGUUGCCGUGGGGAAGCCUUUACCAUGGAUACGCUGGCUGAAGGAUGGCUAUUCGUAUGGCAAAGGGGAGCUGAAGUUCUCCAGUCUCACGUUUGAGGAUUCGGGCAUGUAUCAGUGUAUUGCUGAGAAUGAAUGGGGGACCAUCUAUGCUAGCGCGGAGCUUCGGGUUGUCUCCUGUGCACCAACAUUCAUUUAUAAUCCAGUGAAGAAGGUUCUGCUCGGGGCUGAAAACGGUCGUGUGGUUAUAGAGUGCAAACCCAGCGCUGCUCCUAAACCCAAGUUCAUCUGGAAACGAGGCUCAGAGCUGCUGACCAACUCUUCAAGGAUGUUAAUUUGGGAUGAUGGAAGUCUGGAGAUUCUGAACGUGUCAAAAAGUGACGAGGGCUCGUACACAUGCUAUGCUGAGAAUGACCGCGGCAAAUCCAACAGCACAGGGACCCUCACUAUCACCGAGGCCACCAAAAUCACAGAGGCUCCAUCAGACACUGAGGCAGUUGUAGGUGACACUACAAUUCUCCAGUGUUCUGCAUCAUUUGAUCCCAGCCUGGACAUCACCUUUAUCUGGACUGUUGAUUCCUACGUCAUCAACUUCUACACAGACUUUGAACACUACGAGCUGCUCAUGAACAGCGGAGACCUGCUGAUCAAGAACAUCCAGGUGAGGCACGCAGGACACUAUUCCUGCACAGCUCAGACCAUAGUGGACAAUGCCACCGCAGAAGCUGAUGUUUUUGUCAAAGGUCUGCCUGGUCCUCCAGGUGGUGUCCGUGUGGAAGAGAUUGGAGACACGUCAGUAAAACUACGAUGGAGUCUGGGAUCAGACCACGGUAGUCCUUUUAUCCAACAGAGAACAAAUAUUGUUUUCCCAGCUCCUGUGUUUUUGGACGGAUCUACAGAGUCAGCCACCAUAGUUGACCUUUACCCCUGGAUGCAAUAUGAAUUCCGUGUGCAUGCAAUCAAUGAAUUUGGAGCUGGGGAAAACAGCCGUCCGUCCAUCAAAAUCAAGACAUGGGACGCCAGGCCUACAGUAGCUCCUUCUGAUGUACUGGGGCAAGUUGGAAUAAGCGGAGAGCUUAUCGUGACCUGGACUCCUGUAAAGCCUCAGUUCUUCUUUGGUAAAAAAUUUGGCUACGUCGUGGCGUUUAAGCAGCAUGAGGAUUCUGAAUGGAAGUGGACGACUGUGGAGGAUCCCGAGACUAGACGCUACGUCUACAAAGAUAGCAUGACCCCAGACACUGAGAUACAGGUCAAAGUGAAAACCUACAAUAACAAAGGAGAAGGACCCUCAAGUCUUAUAUCAGUGGUCGACUCACCAAGGCUAGCACCCACUGAAGCUCCAUUAGAUGUCUACGCCCGCCAGGUCACCGCUACAGAAGCUUUGGUCUGGUGGUUACCGAUCUACCAGGCACCGCCAAACUGGGUCGAUGGAUACCAGAUUCGUUACUGGAGGAAGUACGAUGAUAAUGAAGCUGCUGCCUCUCGAGUUCUUGUGCAUAGAGCAAUUAACCAAACUCGCCUGGAGAACAUGCGGCCUGACUCCCACUACCUCAUAGAGGUACGAGCGUUCAACGGAGCUGGGCUCGGGCCACCCAGCGAGCAUUGUGAAAUGUUCACCAGGAGACCACCCCCAAGUCGCCAUUUGAGAGUCUACAAAUAUGUCAGCUUUAAUCGCAAAUGGCUCUAUCUAUAUUGGGAUCACAUCUAUAACUACUGGAAUGAGUCAUAUGUGGAGGGAUACAAGAUUUUGUUCAGGAAGGAAGGAGAGCGUUAUGGGAAGCUUUACACCACAGGCAGACACUACAUUGACUUUCCCAUGCCAGAGACAGGUGAUUACAUCAUAGAGGUCCGAGCCCGCUGCGAGGGAGGUGAUGGACCCAUAUCACAGAUCAGAGUGCAAGGUGAAUACUGUCUUUUACAUAUCAGUAAGGAUUUCAUUUUUUAUCAACCUCAUUCAUCAUGUUCCUACCCUAAUCAUGUUCUAAUAAUUACAAAAUGAUAUCUGAAGUUCUGCAUAGUUUAAAGUAUAUAUUCACUACAAGAACUGAAAUAAGUUUCACAUAGUCAUAGAUGCAUAGAUGCAGUUACACAAUUGUAACCUUUAUUCAUACUGAUCUUUCUUACCAUUGUUUUGUAUUAUGUUCAGGGAAAGCCGCUUUGGGUGCUGAAUCUCUCAGCGUCGCCUCUGUCUUGCUGCUGGCACUGGGAUGGAUGAAUUUAGGCCUGUAGGCAUAAACAGCUGUCAACACUUUUGGCGAAAUUCACUUCUAAGAAACAAUCUUUAUAUAUUUUGAGUGCAUUUCCUUAAAGCGGUGGUUUUCGUGGUGUAGAUGAAGUUUGUUUGGGAGUGUAGAAUAUAAAGAAUUUAUACCCUCUUGGUUUGCCUUACAAACUACAGUACCCGCAAUCAACUAAUGAAACGUAUUGUAAAAUAAAUGUGGUGGCAGGGUAUGGUGAACUUUUUUG
ensembl:lncRNA